ACGUCAUCCCCACCUUCCUCCGAGUUGACCACGGCAGUCUCCCAUGAGUCCCCACCAUUACGUGCUGGCAACAUGGAACGAGGGUUGCGCUCGUUGCGGGACUUAACCCAACAUCUCACGACACGAGCUGACGACAGCCAUGCACCACCUGUGCACGGCCCUUACGGACCCGACAUCUCUGCCGGAUUUCCGUGCAUGUCAAGCCCAGGUAAGGUUCUUCGCGUUGCAUCGAAUUAAACCACAUGCUCUACCGCUUGUGCGGGCCCCCGUCAAUUCCUUUGAGUUUCAGCCUUGCGGCCGUACUCCCCAGGCGGGGCACUUAAUGCGUUAGCUCCGACACGGCAGUCGUUGGUAAGACCGCCACACCUAGUAUCCAACGUUUACGGCGUGGACUACCAGG
rnacentral:misc_RNA from 1 species